rfam:Auxenochlorella protothecoides strain 0710 contig1223, whole genome shotgun sequence.
GGCGGAAUAGUUCAGUGGCUAGAACGAUGGAAUCAUAUCCCAUAAGCCGAGGGUUCGAAUCCCCCUUCCGCUA